rnacentral:rRNA from 1 species
GACGAACGCUGGUGGCGUGCCUAAUACAUGCCAGUAGAACGCACAGUUUAUACCGUAGCUUGCUACACCAUAAACUGUGAGUUGCGAACGGGUGAGUAACGCGUAGGUAACCUGCCUGGUAGCGGGGGAUAACUAUUGGAAACGAUAGCUAAUACCGCAUAAUAUUGAUUAUUGCAUGAUAAUUGAUUGAAAGAUGCUAUUGCAUCACUACCAGAUGGACCUGCGUUGUAUUAGCUAGUAGGUGAGGUAACGGCUCACCUAGGCGACGAUACAUAGCCGACCUGAGAGGGUGAUCGGCCACACUGGGACUGAGACACGGCCCAGACUCCUACGGGAGGCAGCAGUAGGGAAUCUUCGGCAAUGGACGAAAGUCUGACCGAGCAACGCCGCGUGAGUGAAGAAGGUUUUCGGAUCGUAAAGCUCUGUUGUAAGAGAAGAACGGGUGUGAGAGUGGAAAGUUCACACUGUGACGGUAUCUUACCAGAAAGGGACGGCUAACUACGUG